UGCGCAGAGCCCCCAGGGCCGGGGCGCGGCUGGCAAACCCCUAGGGAAGGCCGUGUGCGGCGCUGCGAGGGCGACCGACCCGGCUCGCUGGGCAAGGCGGACAGGCGUGGCGGCCCCGGCGGGCCAGCCCGGGCCUGGUCAGCCUCCUUUUUCCCCUCAAGUUGGUCAGGGGACACUUCUUCCUUCUCAGCGGAGGACGCCCACCUGGUGCCACUGAGGCAGCGCCUGUCUUGCUGAUUAUAUACUCGGAAGUGGAGGCCUCACCGCGGCCGCCACGCUGGGUCCCAGAAGUUGCUUCCUACAAGUGCUCACCAACACCAUAGACUAGGAAACGUCCGCGCAUGGAUGUUGUUUUUCAGAUGAGGUCUUCCGCUGUUGCCCAGCGCCAGCCUUGCCCCUCGUCUAUGGAUCCAGCUGGGGUCUUGUAAAGUUUCCUGCCCCGACUGUCCUUGAACCCAUCCUCCUUCUGAUUGCAGUCUCCGGAGUGGCGAGGGUUAUUACAGACCUGAGCCUGCUCAUGCCUCACUUGGACUCUUCUUUUUUUUUCUUCAGCCAUCUAUCUUGGCAAUUUCUAGAACAUGCCCUUUGGGAUGUUUUGUUUUGCCUAGAAACCUCCAGGUAGAGGUUUAUUGCCACUGCUGGUUUUCUUUGCUUUCCAGAGAGCUACGGCUCUGGGUUUUAGGGAGAAGGGACCUACUCAUUUGCAAGGAACAAAACAUGAGCAAGUCUGUCCUAGAUGCCUGCAUCUCAGGGGCCUGGCCUCUGUGGGUGGAGCCCACUACCCUGGUAGAUGGUCACCUCACAGGUGUGGCUCGUUUGUUCAUUCUGGAAUAUGGGAGCUCUGCAGUUCACAGAAUUCUGAGACACCUGGUGAAGGCGGAAACUUCCUGCUGUCUGGUGACCCUACGGGAACGAAUGCUUUCCUGUUCAUUUCCAGGCUGGCACAGCCAAAGAUUUUUAGCCUGGUGGCAACCAGAGCUACUUCUUACCUGCUUUUUCCAGAGGAUGCUACCUUGCCAUCUUGGGAUCUCUGUCUUGAAGAAGGCCCCUUCUCCCUCAAUUUCCAAUUUCCUAUGGGAGGUGUGUGACAAGUUGUGCUGUUGCUCACUGCCUUUUGCAUCUUUGUGUCCUGUCGGGGAAUGAUAGUGUUGCUAAUUUACAGUCUGAAAUGUUUACACUGCUUCUUCUAAGGACAAGUCUGUUUUAGUAAGCUGUGAAGCUAUUUUACUUGGUUCACUGGGUUAUGACCAAUGCCCCCCAAAAGUGAAGGAGCUCCAUGUAUCAAGUCUAAACCUCUUUGGAAAUUUUCCAAAGUCUUAGUAUGUCUUUGUGACACAGAAAACUGGGACGGGCUGGGUAACUGGAAUGUUCCUAGUGUGUAACUGUUAUUGUGCUCUAGAAAUAAAUCACUUUUCCACACCUGGA